CUAACAAGGAUUCCCCUAGUAACUGCGAGUGAAGCGGGAAAAGCUCAAAUUUGAAAUCUGGCAGUCUUUUUUUUCUUCUUUGGCUGUCCGAGUUGUAAUCUAGAGAAGUGCUUACCUGCGCUGGACCAUGUAUAAGUCUCCUGGAAUGGAGCGUCACAGAGGGUGAGAAUCCCGUCUUUGACAUGGACUGCCAGUGUGUUGUGGUGYGCUCUCAAAGAGUCGAGUUGUUUGGGAAUGCAGCUCUAAAUGGGUGGUAAACUCCAUCUAAAGCUAAAUAUUGGCGAGAGACCGAUAGCGAACAAGUACCGUGAGGGAAAGAUGAAAAGGACUUUGGAAAGAGAGUUAAACAGUAUGUGAAAUUGUUGAAAGGGAAACGCUUGAAGUCAGUUGUGUCGGCUAGGGAUCAACCUAGCUGUUUUUUGCUGGGUGAAUUUCCUAGUCUGACAGGCCAACAUCAGUCUUGACUGCUUGAAAAGAGCAGAGGGAAUGUGGCACCUUCGGGUGUGUUAUAGCCCUUUGUCAUAUGUGGCAGUCGAGACUGAGGGAUGCAGCAUGCCGUGAGGCUGGGUCUUUGACCAUGUUCAUGCUUAGGAUGUUGGCUUUUAAUGGCUUCAAUCGACCCGUCUUGAAACACGGACCAAGGAGUCUAACAUGCCUGCGAGUGUUUGGGUGGGGAAAACCCUUGUGCACAAUGAAAGUGAAAGUUGAGAUCCCUGUCAUGGGGAGCAUCGACGCCCGGACCUGAGCUUUUAGCGACGGAUCUGCGGUAGAGCAUGCAUGUUGGGACCCGAAAGAUGGUGAACUAUGCCUGAAUAGGGCAAAGCCAGAGGAAACUCUGGUGGAGGCUCGUAGCGAUUCUGACGUGCAAAUCGAUCGUCAAAUUUGGGUAUAGGGGCGAAAGACUAAUC
rnacentral:rRNA from 1 species